UACGUAGGGAGCAAGCGUUGUCCGGAAUCAUUGGGCGUAAAGCGCGCGUAGGUGGCCUCAUAAGUCCGUUGUGAAAGUCAAAGGCUCAACCUUUGAAAGCCGAUGGAUACUGUGAGACUAGGGUACGGAAGAGGCGAGUGGAAUUCCUGGUGUAGCGGUGGAAUGCGCAGAUAUCAGGAGGAACACCAAUAGCGAAGGCAGCUCGCUGGGACGUUACUGACACUGAGGCGCGAAAGCGUGGGGAGCGAACAGG
rnacentral:rRNA from 1 species